rnacentral:misc_RNA from 1 species
GAUGAAGAACGUAGCGAAAUGCGAUAAGUAGUGUGAAUUGCAGAAUUCAGUGAAUCAUCGAAUCUUUGAACGCACAUUGCGCCCCUUGGUAUUCCAUGGGGCAUGCCUGUUCGAGCGUCAUUUGUACCCUCAAGCUUUGCUUGGUGUUGGGCGUCUUGUCGUAUUACGACUCGCCUUAAAUACAUUGGCAGCCGGCACUUUGGCCUAGGAGCGCAGCACAUUUUGCGAUCGUAGCCCGUUGUACUGGCGUCCAUCAAGAACAUUUACCACGUUUGACCUCGGAUCAGGUAGGGAUACCCGCUGAACUUAAGCAUAUCAAUAAGGGAGGA